CAUUACCGAGUUUACAACUCCCAAACCCCUGUGAACAUACCUUACUGUUGCCUCGGCGGAUCAGCCCGCUCCCGGUAAAACGGGACGGCCCGCCAGAGGACCCCUAAACUCUGUUUCUAUAUGUAACUUCUGAGUAAAACCAUAAAUAAAUCAAAACUUUCAACAACGGAUCUCUUGGUUCUGGCAUCGAUGAAGAACGCAGCAAAAUGCGAUAAGUAAUGUGAAUUGCAGAAUUCAGUGAAUCAUCGAAUCUUUGAACGCACAUUGCGCCCGCCAGUAUUCUGGCGGGCAUGCCUGUUCGAGCGUCAUUUCAACCCUCAAGCCCUCGGGUUUGGUGUUGGGGAUCGGCGAGCCUUUCUGGCAAGCCGGCCCCGAAAUCUAGUGGCGGUCUCGCUGCAGCCUCCAUUGCGUAGUAGUAAAACCCUCGCAACUGGAACGCGGCGCGGCCAAGCCGUUAAACCCCCAACUUCUGAAUGUUGACCUCGGAUCAGGUAGGAAUACCCGCUGAACUUAAGCAUAUCAA
rnacentral:rRNA from 1 species